UACGUAGGGUGCAAGCGUUGUCCGGAAUUAUUGGGCGUAAAGAGCUCGUAGGCGGUUUGUCGCGUCUGCUGUGAAAACCCGGGGCUCAACCUCGGGCCUGCAGUGGGUACGGGCAGACUAGAGUUCGGCAGGGGAGACUGGAAUUCCUGGUGUAGCGGUGAAAUGCGCAGAUAUCAGGAGGAACACCGGUGGCGAAGGCGGGUCUCUGGGCCGAUACUGACGCUGAGGAGCGAAAGCGUGGGGAGCGAACAGG
rnacentral:rRNA from 1 species